GAUGAACGCUGGCGGCGUGCCUAAUACAUGCAAGUCGAGCGAACAGACGAGGAGCUUGCUCCUCUGACGUUAGCGGCGGACGGGGGAGUAACACGUGGAUAACCUACCUAUAAGACUGGGAUAACUUCGGGAAACCGGAGCUAAUACCGGAUAAUAUAUUGAACCGCAUGGUUCAAUAGUGAAAGACGGUUUUGCUGUCACUUAUAGAUGGAUCCGCGCCGCAUUAGCUAGUUGGUAAGGUAACGGCUUACCAAGGCAACGAUGCGUAGCCGACCUGAAAGGGUGAUCGGCCACACUGGAACUGAGACACGGUCCAGACUCCUACGGGAGGCAGCAGUAGGGAAUCUUCCGCAAGGGGCGAAAGCUUGACGGAGCAACGCCGCGUGAGUGAUGAAGGUCUUCGGAUCGUAAAACUCUGUUAUUAGGGAAGAACAAAUGUGUAAGUAACUAUGCACGUCUUGACGGUACCUAAUCAGAAAGCCACGGCUAACUACGUG
rnacentral:rRNA from 1 species